rnacentral:rRNA from 1 species
AUUGAACGCUGGCGGCAGGCCUAACACAUGCAAGUCGAGCGGAGUGGCGGACGGGUGAGUAAUGCUUAGGAAUCUGCCUGGUAGUGGGGGAUAACGUCCGGAAACGGGCGCUAAUACCGCAUACUAUCAGAUGAGCCUAGGUCGGAUUAGCUAGUUGGUGGGGUAAAGGCCUACCAGGGCGACGAUCCGUAACUGGUCUGAGAGGAUGAUCAGCCACACUGGACAUGGGACACGGGCCAGACUCCUACGGGAGGCAGCAGUGGGGAAUAUUGGACAAUGGGCGAAAGCCUGAUCCAGCCAUGCCGCGUGUGUGACGAAGGUCUUCGGAUUUUAAGGGACUUUAAGUUGGGAGGCGUUACCGACAGAAUAAGCACCGGCUAACUUCGUGCCAGCAGCCGCGGUAAUUC